rnacentral:rRNA from 1 species
GAAUAUUGGACAAUGGGCGCAAGCCUGAUCCAGCCAUGCCGCGUGCAGGAAGACUGCCCUAUGGGUUGUAAACUGCUUUUAUACGGGAAGAAACACCCCCUCGUGAGGGGGCUUGACGGUACCGUAGGAAUAAGGAUCGGCUAACUCCGUGCCAGCAGCCGCGGUAAUACGGAGGAUCCAAGCGUUAUCCGGAAUCAUUGGGUUUAAAGGGUCCGUAGGUGGACGGUUAAGUCAGGGGUGAAAGUCUGCAGCUCAACUGUAGAAUUGCCCUUGAUACUGGUCGUCUUGAGUUAUUGUGAAGUGGUUAGAAUAUGUAGUGUAGCGGUGAAAUGCAUAGAUAUUACAUAGAAUACCGAUUGCGAAGGCAGAUCACUAACAAUAUACUGACACUGAUGGACGAAAGCGUGGGUAGCGAACAGG